UGCCAGCCGCCGCGGUAAUACGGAGGGUGCGACCGUUAAUCGGAAUUACUGGGCGUAAAGCGCACGCAGGCGGUUUGUUAAGCUAGAUGUGAAAGCCCCGGGCUCAACCUGGGAUGGUCAUUUAGAACUGGCAGACUAGAGUCUUGGAGAGGGGAGUGGAAUUCCAGGUGUAGCGGUGAAAUGCGUAGAUAUCUGGAGGAACAUCAGUGGCGAAGGCGACCACCUGGCCGUAACUGACGCUGAUGAGCGAAAGCAUGGGUAGCAAACAGGAUUAGAUA
rnacentral:rRNA from 1 species